rnacentral:rRNA from 1 species
UACGGGGGGGGCAAGCGUUGUUCGGAAUUACUGGGCGUAAAGGGCUCGUAGGCGGCCAACUAAGUCGGACGUGAAAUCCCCAGGCUCAACCUGGGAACUGCGUCCGAUACUGGAUGGCUUGAAUCCGGGAGAGGGAUGCAGAAUUCCAGGCGUAGCGGUGAAAUGCGUAGAUAUCUGGAGGAAUACCGGUGGCGAAGGCGGCAUCCUGGACCGGCAUUGACGCUGAGGAGCGAAAGCCAGGGGAGCAAACGGG